AUGAAAUUUCAGCCAUUUUGGGUCCAAUUUUUGGCCCUAUUGGAUCGGCCAUUUUGGCUCCAUUUCGGCCAUUUUGGAUCCAAUCUCGGCCAUCUUAGAACGGCCAUCUUGGAUCCAACAUUCAGCCAUUUUGGAUCCAGUUUUGGCCAUCUUGGAUCGGCCAUUUUGGAUCUAAUUUCAGCCAUUUUGGACCCGUUUUCAGCCAUUUUGGGUCCAAUUUCGGCCAUCUUGGAUCAGCCCCCUCACCCCGCCCGCUCCCCCAGCGUUUUCCCGCUGCUCUCCUGCGACGGCGACUGCGAGGGCCAGGUGAGCUUCGGCUGCCUGGCCGACGGCUUCUUCCCGCAGCCCGCCCAGAUCACCUGGGUGGGCGUGGCCUCGGACGCCGCCCGGAACUUUCCGGAAGUCCAGACGGGCGGCGGCCGCUACGGGCGGAGCUCCCAGGUGACCACGAGCGCGGACGCGGCCAAGGAGGGGGACUUCCGGUGCCAGGUGGAGCAUUAUGGGAAGAAGGUGGAGCUGGAGAUCCCGGAUGACCCCGCCCGCUCCCCCAGCGUUUUCCCGCUGCUCUCCUGCGACGGCGACUGCGAGGGCCAGGAUUUUUUCCCCCCAGCGUGGGCGUGGCCUAACUAUGCAAAUCCCCCCGAUUUCGCAGACCCCGCCCGCUCCCCCAGCGUUUUCCCGCUGCUCUCCUGCGACGGCGACUGCGAGGGCCAGGUGAGCUUCGGCUGCCUGGCCGACGGCUUCUUCCCGCAGCCCGCCCAGAUCACCUGGGUGGGCGUGGCCUCGGACGCCGCCCGGAACUUUCCGGAAGUCCAGACGGGCGGCGGCCGCUACGGGCGGAGCUCCCAGGUGACCACGAGCGCGGACGCGGCCAAGGAGGGGGACUUCCGGUGCCAGGUGGAGCAUUAUGGGAAGAAGGUGGAGCUGGAGAUCCCGGAUGACUCCAUAUGCCCCACCAACCGCACCCCGAACUUCUCCGUGUCCCUCCUGAGCGACCCCAACCAAUCCCACCCCGAGGACCCCGAGGUCCACCUGCUCUGCCAGGUGCGUGGGCGUGGCGCCGGCGACGCCCAUCUCACCUGGUUGGUCAACGGUGACGUCGCCCAGAUUGGGGAGGAGCCCUCCAGCUGCGAAGAGGGCGGGGCCGGCCAGGUGACGCUGAGCGGCCGCGCCAACGUCAGCCGGGAAUUGUGGGAGUUGGGCGCCACCUUCACCUGCCAGGUUAGCCACGCCCACCUGGACACGCCCCUGCAGGCCAACAUCAGCACCUUCUGUAAAUCUCCCGUCCCCACGCCCUCGGUGUCGGUGCUGCCGCCCUCCCUGCAGGACCUCUACCUGUCCACCAGCCCCAACCUCACCUGCGUGGCCACCAACCUGAAAUCGCCGCGGGCCAAAUUCACCUGGAGCCGCUCCCCGCCCGGGGGCGGGGCCUCGGCGGGCGUGGCCACUUCCGGCCCCGCCCUCCGCCUGCCCAACGGCUUCUACGAGCUCCGGAACUUUCUGGGGGUCUGCGCCGAGGACUGGAACUCCGGCGACACCUUCACCUGCGCCGUGGCCGUGGAGGAGCUGGGGCCCGAGCCGCUGACGGCCAGCGCCAGGAAGGACACAGGUGGGUUUUGGGGUGAAAAACGGGGA